AGGAAAUCUGCUUCUGUUGGUUUGGUAUUACUAAAACAUCACAGGAGCAGAGUUUUUCC
ensembl:miRNA